GCAAAUAUUUUUUACUUACUGGAGUUCCCCUGAUAUCCCCAACCAAAACUCCCGAGCAGACUCACAGCGUCGCCUGAGUACAGAUCAGAAACAGACUGAAGAAAGUGCGUAGAAUUUUGUCAAACUUGAUGUGAUGACUAAUUUAAUGAUUGCCUUCAUCUUUCACUGCUAGUUAUCGAAGAUCAGUGAAUGCAAUGAUUCUAAU